CUUUUUGUUAAGUCAUACAUAAAUUCAUUCCAGGAACGACAGUCAUAAUGGAUAUCAAAAUUUCAUUUUUCGCAACAUUUCUGGCACUAAUUUGGACGUGCCAUGCACAGAACUACAGAAACGUUUCAAAAUUAGGAACUUGGAUACCGCUCCCAACGCCCGUGGUUGGAACACCUGUCGCAGCGCCCGCGACGGGAUGUCAAACCUGCACUGAAGCGGCGUGCUGCUCUAACCUUUGUCCGAAUAGUUAUUUUUGUAGCGUGACGGCAGGCGCGGCACCACAAUGCUUCCAGCCGCCGGGGUCAUUUACGGGUGUGAUGGCAUGUAAGCGGCCAAACUGCGAUACCUGCACUGCGACACAAAUUAGCUGUGCUGCUGUUACGACUGUAUGCGCUCCCACGGCAGUGGCGGGUGUUUGCGACUAUAAUUAUUAGAAUUUUGGAACAAAAUAAAAAUGAAAGCUGUUACUAAUGUAA